ACCCGCACAAGUGGUGGAGCAUGUGGUUUAAUUCGAAGAUACACGAAGAACCUUACCUGGCCUUGACAUGGUAGGAACCCUUAAGAGAUUAGGGGGUGCUAGCUUGCUAGAACCUACACACAGGUGCUGCACGGCUGUCGUCAGCUCGUGUCGUGAGAUGUUGGGUUAAGUCCCGCAACGAGCGCAACCCUCGUCCUUAGUUGCUAACAGUUCGGCUGAGCACUCUAGGGAGACUGCCUUCGCAAGGAGGAGGAAGGUGAGGACGACGUCAAGUCAUCAUGGCCCUUACGGCCAGGGCUACACACGUGCUACAAUGGGGCGUACAGAGAGCUGCGAUACCGCGAGGUGGAGCCAAUCUCUUAAAGCGUCUCUCAGUUCGGAUUGUUCUCUGCAACUCGACUGCGUGAAGUCGGAAUCGCUAGUAAUCGUGAAUCAGAAUGUCCACGGUCGAAUACGUUCCGGGCCUU
rnacentral:rRNA from 1 species